GCAUAGGUUUGGAUUUAUGGCAGGCCUGUAAUCCUGGGCCUGUCGUAGUGUCCUGUGCUAGAGCAACCCAUGGCCCUGAACCAUUCAUUGCCUGGCCUCUGCCUGUAGGCUACUGGCACUGAAGUAAGUCGAACAGUA